rnacentral:rRNA from 1 species
UACGUAGGGUGCGAGCGUUAAUCGGAAUUACUGGGCGUAAAGCGUGCGCAGGCGGUUCGCUAAGACAGAUGUGAAAUCCCCGGGCUUAACCUGGGAACUGCAUUUGUGACUGGCGGGCUAGAGUAUGGCAGAGGGGGGUAGAAUUCCACGUGUAGCAGUGAAAUGCGUAGAGAUGUGGAGGAAUACCGAUGGCGAAGGCAGCCCCCUGGGCCCAAUACUGACGCUCAUGCACGAAAGGCGUGGGGAGCAAACAGGA